UUUCCUAGUCUUAGGAUUAAUUAUAACUUGCAAAGGUUGGAGCUUGCGUUAAAUGAGGAGCAUGAUUGACAAAUAUUACACGGCAAAGUUUUUUUUUCUGGUAAGAAUCAUUUGCAUUCAUAUAGGAUUUGUGUUCCCUAUUAAAGAUUGAUUUGGUGUGGGAUUCUAGGAGUCUAUUCAAAUCUACAGUCUUAAAUAAGGAAGAGGUUUAAAUAAGGCCAAUCUCUUUGUUUAUUAGGUAAAAGAGUUAACCUAGUAUAUAAGGGGUUGUGUUGGGAGUUUUAUGGUAGACCUUUUGCACGCUAAUGAUAUUUGUGAGAUUGUUUUAUAAGGUCAAGGGGGAGGAACAAAAGACUGUUAGGUUCUUAGCUUUAUCUAGGUGAGAGUUUGAGAGCAUAACACAUCAUUCAUUCAUCAUGGAACUUUGUGUAAGCUUUGCCUGUGAGGAAGAUCAUCAAUCUACGUGAAUCGGUGUUCAUCCAAGAGAAGGUGAAGAGGACGUGGUCUACAAGACAAGAAUAUUUGAUCAAGCUUCUGUUGUGGUGUAAGAAAGUAUCAAUUGAGUCUUGUAUUAUGUCCUUAAGUUUUUAGUGAAAUUGGCUGUGUGCCUUGAAGUUUUUCUCUCCUGUGUGGAGGGUUUUUUCCUCGUGCGAGAUUUCGUACAAAUCCUUUGGCUUCGUUUAUUUACUCUUUUGAUUUUGUUUUGUUGUGAAAAAAUCAGGAUUGAAAUAUAUUUCAAUCUUGCAUAUUGCAUUUAACCUUGAUCCAUCCAGAUUUACAAUUUCAAUUGGCACCAGAGCAGUUCUCUAAAAUUAUUUAGAGUGAUCCUAGGGACUACUGUGAUGGAUCGAGCAGCUGGAUCAAUCUCACAUCCACCAUACUUUGAUGGUGAGAACUAUGGCGCUUGGAAAGCAAAGAUGAAGGCUUUUCUUUGGUCACUAGAUGCGUGUGUUUGGAACACGGUAGUUUUUGGUUACUCCCGUCCAACCAAAACUAUAAUACACAAAUCAAAGAAAAUAUCUGAAGAAGGUAAGGCAGAUAGUGAUGUUGUCGCUGAGGAAGUUGUUCUCAAACCUCAUGAAGAAUGGACACUGGCUGAUCAAACUCACUCCAUGAAUAAUCAAAAAGGGUUAAACGCUCUAUUUACUGCCUUAUCUCCUGAUCAGUUUUCUAAUAUUUCAAAUUAUGAGACCUCCAAAGAGGCUUGGGAUAUAUCUUGCAGGUCACCUAUGAAGGAACAAAUGCUGUUAAAGAGUCAAAGCUUCAAAGGUAUGUCACUCAAUUUGAAAUUAUUAGAAUGGAAGAAGAUGAAACCUUUUCUGAUUUCUAUGCUAAGUUAAAUAGUAUCGUCAAUGCUUGUGCUAAUCUUGGGGAUAAAAUUCCUGAAUCUAGAGUUGUCAAAAAGGUUCUUAGAUCACUACCUUCUAGGUUUCAACCUAAGAAAACUGCAAUUGAAGAAGUUAGAGACUUAAACACAAUGAAAAUUGCAGAAUUAGUUGGGUCUUUGAAAACUUAUGAAAUGGAGCUUCCUACUGUGAAGAGGAGUAAAAACAUUGCCCUAAAAGCUGUAAAAGAAGAAUGUGAAGAAAGUGAGGAAAUUGGUGAUGAGGAAUUUGCUCUAAUCACUAGACAGUUUCAAAAAAUUUCUCAAGAGUAAAAAUUUUAAGGGCAAAGGAACAAGUUCAGGAUCUAAAUCUUUCAAGUCAAACAAUUUUAAUUCUGAAAAAGGUUCUAGACUUAUUAAACAAACUGAGGGUCGAAAAUGCUAUGAAUGUCAGGGUUUUGGACAUGAGGCAAAAGAAUGUGCUAACACCUUGAAGAAAUUAAAAUCUGAAAAAAACAAAGCCAUGAAGAGUACUUGGAGUGACAGUGAAUCAGAUUCAGAUUCUGAAGGUGAGAUAGUUGCAUUUGUGGGAUUUGCAAAUAUCAAUGAUCUUGAGGAAUCUGAUAGUCAGGAGCUUGAUGCUGAAGAAAUACUUCAAAAAUAUAAUGAACUUUAUCAUGUCUCUGUAAAAAUUAGAAAGCAUAGUUCUGAUAUGAAAGAAAAAUUGAAAAAUCUGGAAACUGAGAAAAGUAGGAUCGAAACUGUGUUUCAAUCUCGGUUGUCUGAACUUGAGAAAGAAAACAAGUCAUUAACUUCACAACUUGAGGCUUCUAAAGAAAAAAUCAUAAGAUUAACCAUUGGCGCGGAAAAGAUUGACAAAAUGCUCAGUAUUGGAAAAUCCAGUGGAGAUAAAACUGGUUUGGGUUUUGAUGGUUCCACUGAUAGUUCUUCGAGAACAAAAUUUGUGAAAGCUUCAGGUACGUGUGCUAUGCCUAAGACGUGUGUUCUUACUUGUCAUGCUUGCGGUGAGGUAGGUCAUAUUCGACCUCAUUGUGACAAAAAAUACUUGAAUCAUUCUGAUAAUUUUUCUGUUGGUACUGCACGUACUCAUCUCUCAAAUCUCUUGAGAGAAGUGAAUAGGUUGUCUAAACUCGUUCAUAUUCCAAAUUCCCAUUUGCCUAAGAUGAAACUUGUGUGGAGAGAAAGAAGAAAGGGACUAAAUUAGUGAAUGAAUCACAUUGCUGCUUACUUGCUCAUUCUUCAAUUGAGUCUAAUGAUCUCAAAUGUUUUGUUGCCUUUACUGCCUUGGAUUCUUGCAACUCUAACAAGUGGUACUUUGACAGUGGUUGUUCAAGGCAUAUGACAGGUGAUAAACGUUGGUUUCAGUCAUUCUCAGAGAUAAAAAGGUAAGAGGCACGGUAACCUUUGGUGAUGGUAAGAAAGCCAAGGUUUUGGGUGAAGGUACAGUUAAAGCUCCUGGUUUACCUGCUUUGCAUAAUGUUUUACUUGUUGAAAGUCUUACUGCAAACCUUAUGAGUAUUAGUCAACUAUGUGAUGACUUUGGUAAGGCUAUAUUUGAUGAAAUUGAAUGCAUAGUAAGUACAAAAACAGGUGAAAAGGUCAUUUGUGGACCAAGGUCUGAUGAUAAUUGCUAUUGUGCUAUGGCUAAUGGUUUGAAUGUUUGCUACAGGGUUGAAAACAAUAUCACUAAUCUAUGGCAUCGAAGAUUAGGACACAUGAAUUUUAGAGAUCUAAUCAAAAUUUCAAAGAAAGAAUAUGUAAGGGGGCUGCCCACAUUAAGUGGAAAACAAGAAGGAGUCUGUGGUGAUUGUCAAAUAGGAAAGCAGACCAAAAGCUCACACAGUCCCACCAACUUCUCAUCAACAUCAAAACCAUUGGAACUUAUGCAUAUGGACUUGGUUGGUCCAAUGCAAACUCUAAGUUUGGGAGGUAAAAAGUAUAUACUGGUUCUUGUGGAUGAUUUCACUCGCUUUACCUGGGUUGCUUUCUUGCAUGAUAUAAAUCUGAAGCAUUUAAAUCUUUCACUGUUUUAUGCAUGAAAAUUCAGAAUGAAAAACAUGAUAACAUCAUUAGACUAAGGACGGAUCAUGGGACAGAAUUUGAGAAUCAUUUCUUUUCUGAAUUUUGUGAUGAACAUGGCAUUGCGCAUGAAUUUUCCGCUCCUAUCACACCUCAACAAAAUGGGGUGGUUGAAAGGAAAAAUAGAGUCUUGCUUGACAUGAGUAGAGUAAUGCUUAAUUCUGCAAAUUUGGCAAAACAUUUUUGGGCUGAGGCAAUAUGUUCUGCUUGUUACACUGCUAACAGAGUGUAUUUAAGACCAAAGUCAAAAGCAACUCCUUAUGAACUUUGGAAAGGGAAAAAGCCUAAUGUGAGUCAUUUGAGAGUCUUUGGGAGUACAUGUUACAUAUACAAAGAUAGGGAACAUCUCGCUAAAUUUGACUCUAGGAGUGACAUUGGUAUUUUUCUUGGUUAUUCUCUAACUAGCAAGGCUUAUAGGGUUUAUAACACUCGAACUAAGGCUGUAAUGGAGUCCAUAAAUGUUGUGAUUAAUGAUUCUGAUUUGAAGUAGGUCAAACAGAUGAAGGAUGAUGAUGAUCUUACUGGAAUACAAACAGAAAGUAGGAGUGAUCAAGUUGCUGUAGUGAAUGAUGCUUCAAGUAUCACAAACUCAGAAGACAUCCAUGACACAUCAUCUCAAACACUUAGAAUUGGAGCUAAGCAAGUAAAAAGAGAUCACAAGCCUGAAAACAUCAUUGGGAAGCUCAAUGAUAAAAUGAGAACUCGAAGUCAUGAUGUUGAAGAAAUAAGCUACUUGUGUUAUGUCUCUCAAAUUGAGCCAAAAAAUGUCAAAGAAGCCAUGGUUGACAAUGCUUGGAUCUUAGCCAUUCAAGAGGAGUUAAACCAGUUCAAAAGGAAUGAUGUUUGGUACUUGGUUCCACGGCCCAAGGAUGCCAAUGUUAUUGGUACCAAGUGGAUUUUUAGAAACAAGACAGAUGAGAAAGGGAAUGUAAUUCGCAAUAAAGCUAGAUUGGUUGCUCAAGGUUACACUCAAGUGGAAGGUCUUGACUUUGACGAAACUUUUGCUCCAGUAGCAAGAUUGGAAUCAGUAAGAUUAUUACUAGCAAUUGCAUGCCAUCUCAAGAUCAAGCUGUACCAGAUGGAUGUCAAAAGUGCGUUUCUGAAUGGGGUGUUGCAAGAAGAAGUUUAUGUGGAACAGCCAGCUGGAUUCAAAGAUCAUUUUCAUCCUAGUCACGUUUACCGACUGAAAAAAAGCAUUGUAUGGUUUGAAACAGGCACCCCGGACUUGGUAUGAGAGGUUGUCAUCGUAUCUGCUUCAAAAUGGUUACACUAGAGGAGCAAUUGACAAAACUUUGUUUGUCAAACGGGUUAAAAGUGAUUUAGUUGUUGCUCAAGUUUAUGUGGAUGAUAUUGUGUUUGGUUCUACCUCCAAUCUUCUAGUUUCUGAAUUUACUAGUAUUAUGAGUAAUGAAUUUGAGAUGAGUAUGUGUGGAGAAUUGAAUUACUUUCUUGGUUUGCAGGUCCAACAACUUAAAGAUGGCAUGUUUCUUUCCCAAACAAAAUAUGCAAAGGAACUUGUCGCUAAGUUUGGUUUGGAAAGUGCCAAACCAGUGAGAAAUCCCAUGAGCACCACAGAGAAGCUCCACAAAGAUCCUACUGGAGAACCAAUUGAUCAAACGUUGUAUAGAAGCAUGAUAGGGAGUCUACUAUACCUUACUGCUAGUCGUCCUGACAUCUCCUUUAGUGUUGGUGUUUGUGCACGAUUUCAAUCAUGUCCUAAGCAAUCACAUUUGACUGCUGUUAAAAGAAUAAUACGAUAUGUAAGUGGCACUUUAAGCUUUGGAAUUCAUUACUCAUUCAACUCAAAUGUGGAAAUUGCAGGAUUUUCGGAUGCAGAUUGGGCUGGUAAUAUAGAUGAUAGAAAAAGCACUUCAGGCGGUUGUUUUUAUCUGGGAAACAACUUAGUCGCGUGGCAUAGUAAGAAACAAAAUUGUGUCUCACUCUCCACCGCCGAGGCUGAAUACAUAGCUGCUGGAAGCUGCUGCACACAACUGUUAUGGAUGAAGCAGAUGUUGUGUGACUAUGGUAUAGUGCAAGGUAAGUUGAUCAUUUUUUGCGAUAACCAAAGUGCCAUUAAUAUCUCAAAGAAUCCUGUUGAGCACUCUCGCACUAAACACAUUGAUAUAAGGCAUCACUUUAUACGUGAUCUUGUAGAAGACGAUCUUCUUGAAUUGGAAUAUAUUCCCACUGAUAAACAACUUGCUGAUAUCUUCACAAAACCACUGGAUAAUAAUCGAUAUGAACACCUUAGACAAUCCAUUGGUAUGUGCUCCAUUGCCUGACUCUGUAGUUUUCAAAAUGCCAGUAAUGCAUGUCUUUCGUCUGCAUAUGUGUCUUUCUAUAUAUAUAUAUAUAUAUAUAUAUAUAUAUAUAUAUACAUAUACAUAUAUGUCAUCCCUCUGUGCUGCUACUAUUCUUUUGAUCUCAGAUUGGAUUACUAUUAUGGUUUCUCUGCUCCAUUAGAUAUAAGGUGUUAUUUUGUCUAUCGAGAACCGAACAUUGCUAUUUCCUAUUUUGUUUGUUUUUGUCAUGUCUCAGUUUCUCACUAUCUCAAGUGUUUUGUGGGGGUACGAAUUCAUGAUCAAUCAUACCUUUCUAAUUAGUGGGGCACUUACGCUAGUUUUUUUGUCCCCACUCUGGUUGCCUAUACGCACUUUGCAAAAAAAAAAAAAAAAAAAAAAAAAAAAAAAAAAAAAAGUGCAUGUAUUGCAAUUACAAUAAUAUUCAUUUGGUCUCUUGUCUAAGACAUGCAAUAGAAAGUUCAAAGUUGCCAGGCACACAACGAAGAUAUGUAAACGUCUCACCGUUGUGACAACCGCUAGCAAUAAUGUGUCUCAAAUAAAUGAUGCAAGGCACACAACGAAGAUAUGUAAACGUCUCACCGUUGUGACAACCGCUAGCAAUAAUGUGUCUCAAAUAAACGAUGCAAGGCACACAACGAGGAUAUGCAAACGUCUAAACGUUGUGACAACUGAUAGCAUCUGUGUCAAUUAUCAGUUUGGUUCUCUCAUUUCAUUGCUUUAAUAGAAAUUUACAAUAUGCCCAGAGUUUGGACAAAACAGUUAGUUUGUAUGGGCUCUUAUGGUUCGUAAGGGGUGUUGACUAUGGUUCCUUAAUCCCACAUUCUUGAGACACACACUACAUCACACAAGCUGUUUAAAUUCCCAUACUCUUUCCUUGGUUUUCUAGUUUUUAAAUUUCAUCUUAUCUCCUGUGGUUUUAGUUAAACUAAAUGGACUAUCCUGUAUGCUGUGCCUAAGAGGAACUAGUACUGCACUUUGGGAUUGGCAUUCUAUUUUAUUCAUAUUUAUCUCAUGCAUUUCUCUCUCUUUAUCUUCUUACUGGCAAUUUGAACUAUCAUUUAUUGGCAUGGCAUACCUUAGCUAUGUGAUUUCUGAUCCGCUGCAUGUGAACUCUGUUGCUUGGUUAUUUUUGGAUUUCCCUUGACAAAAAGGGGGAGUACUAAUAUGCUUACUGUUCGUUAGAUUCAGGGGGAGAAUAUGUUCUGUCACUCUUAAUAUAUCUUUUGUGCUUCACUGGUAAUUCGUGCCUGUGCAGAUAAAUGAGAUCCUCUGGAACGGUUGUUAUUUUUUUGUAUUGGGGAUUUUGUCUAGGAAAUGCCAAAGGGGGAGAUUGAAAGGGUAAUUAAGUUGGCUAUUUCCUAGCAAAUGUAAAGAGUCUGUAAGUUGGCUAUUUCCUAGUCUUAGGAUUAAUUAUAACUUGCAAAGGUUGGAGCUUGCGUUAAAUGAGGAGCAUGAUUGACAAAUAUUACACGGCAAAGUUUUUUUUUCUGGUAAGAAUCAUUUGCAUUCAUAUAGGAUUUGUGUUCCCUAUUAAAGAUUGAUUUGGUGUGGGAUUCUAGGAGUCUAUUCAAAUCUACAGUCUUAAAUAAGGAAGAGGUUUAAAUAAGGCCAAUCUCUUUGUUUAUUAGGUAAAAGAGUUAACCUAGUAUAUAAGGGGUUGUGUUGGGAGUUUUAUGGUAGACCUUUUGCACGCUAAUGAUAUUUGUGAGAUUGUUUUAUAAGGUCAAGGGGGAGGAACAAAAGACUGUUAGGUUCUUAGCUUUAUCUAGGUGAGAGUUUGAGAGCAUAACACAUCAUUCAUUCAUCAUGGAACUUUGUGUAAGCUUUGCCUGUGAGGAAGAUCAUCAAUCUACGUGAAUCGGUGUUCAUCCAAGAGAAGGUGAAGAGGACGUGGUCUACAAGACAAGAAUAUUUGAUCAAGCUUCUGUUGUGGUGUAAGAAAGUAUCAAUUGAGUCUUGUAUUAUGUCCUUAAGUUUUUAGUGAAAUUGGCUGUGUGCCUUGAGGUUUUUCUCUCCUGUGUGGAGGGUUUUUUCCUCGUGCGAGAUUUCGUACAAAUCCUUUGGCUUCGUUUAUUUACUCUUUUGAUUUUGUUUUGUUGUGAAAAAAUCAGGAUUGAAAUAUAUUUCAAUCUUGCAUAUUGCAUUUAACCUUGAUCCAUCCAGAUUUACAAUUUCAGUAUUCGUUAGAGUAGCAGCUUAAAUUGUUAGAAAUCAUGAUAAGUUAGUUUAUUGUUUAAUUUAUCAUUAUUGUUUUUUUGGUCAGAAGGUAAAGAAAUUUCAUAAAAUAAAGUCCAAAUUGACAGAUUACAUCAAGGAU
rnacentral:lncRNA from 1 species